rnacentral:tRNA from 1 species
GGGCGCUUAGCUCAGCUGGUUUAGAGCGUCUGCCUUACAAGCAGAAGGUCAGAGGUUCAAAUCCUCCAGCGCCCACCA